UACGAAGGGGGCUAGCGUUGUUCGGAAUUACUGGGCGUAAAGCGCGCGCAGGCGGUUCUUCAAGUCAGAGGUGAAAGCCCAGAGCUCAACUCUGGAAUGGCCUUUGAGACUAGAGAACUAGGGUACGGGAGAGGUGAGUGGAAUUCCGAGUGUAGAGGUGAAAUUCGUAGAUAUUCGGAAGAACACCGGUGGCGAAGGCGGGUCUCUGGGCAGUAACUGACGCUGAGGAGCGAAAGCGUGGGGAGCGAACAGG
rnacentral:rRNA from 1 species